UCGGGCCAAUUCGUUCAUUUUACUUUUGAUCUUGAAGCAGUCUACUUCGCAUUACUAAACAUUUGGAAAUAGCUGGAAAAAUAUCUAAUUGAAAUGACAGUUUUCAGCAAAAUAUUGCUAAAAUCUUGUAGGCAUAAAUAUGUAGUAUCCAUAAUUUAUGAAAGCUGAAUGUUAUUUGAAAGGAUGGCGUUGGAAAUUACUGAUACAAUUAACACACCCGAAUGAAUGACGUAUAAAAGGGUUAUGCUGAACAAAAUGGCCUAACAUGUUUUAGUAAAGCUGGAAAACUUGCAGCGGCUUGUAAAAUGUGCAGCUGAAACUAAAUAAUAUUGCAGCUGCUAUUUUAAUUAAAGCCAGUUGAAGGAGAAAGCUUGGUUACAGUGCAUAAGAUGACCCAAAUAUCAUUAAAAGACUGCAGUUCCAGUUCAAUGUGAAAAUGUAAAAAUAUUGGAAGCUGUAUAUUCAAAAGAUUUGCUGAAGCAUAUGGGUAACAUAUUACUACUCAUUGAUAUAUUGAGGAAACAUGAAAAGUUAAAACAUAUCAAUAAUCAUGAUAAUUAUGGAAAGGAUUGCAGUUGUAUCGGGAGUAAAGGCGUGUUUGUAUUGGAUUUGCAGCCUUAUUUUAACAUUUAUGUACAAAAUAAACUAAAUAAAAACAAAAUAUGUUUAAAUUAAA